GGGUCGUUAGCUCAGUUGGUAGAGCAGUUGACUUUUAAUCAAUUGGUCGCAAACGGAGCCGCUUGCGGCGACGGCCCG
rnacentral:tRNA from 1 species